AUUCCAGCUCCAAUAGCGUAUAUUAAAGUUGUUGCAGUUAAAAAGCUCGUAGUUGGAUUUGGGACUGGAGUCGUCGGGUCGGCCGCGAGGUCUGUUACUUGGCGGCUCUGUCAUUACAAUUCCCUGGGACCUGUCGUGUGCUACGCUGUACGCGGCACGGGACUUGGGACGUUUACUUUGAAAAAAUUAGAGUGUUCAAAGCAGGCUUUUUAAGCCCGAAUACAUGAGCAUGGAAUAAUGGAAUAGGAUUGCGGUUCUAUUUUGUUGGUUUCUACGACCGCAGUAAUGAUUAAGAGGGACGAUUGGGGGCAUCCGUAUUUCGUUGUCAGAGGUGAAAUUCUUGGAUUUACGAAAGGCGAACAACUGCGAAAGCAUUUGCCAAGAGUGUUUUCAUUA
rnacentral:rRNA from 1 species